GUGCUUGCUUCUGAAGCACAUAUACUAAAAUUGGAAUGAUACAAAGAAGAUUAACAUGACCCCUGCACAGGCAUGACUUGCAAAUUUGUGAGGCUUUCUGUAUUUUU
ensembl:snRNA U6 U6 spliceosomal RNA